GUCCCCUUAACCACCUACAGUUCCCAGAAUCCCUGAGGGGAAGCCAUUCCUGUUCAAAGUGUCUUCAUAGCCCUUUCAGUGGACGGUGCACCUAAUGUGGCCUAAUGUUUCCUCCCUCAUUUUCUUCUCUCUCCCCACUGCCCCAUCACUUGCAAUGCAGCAGAUGUCCGCCUGCAGUCUCCCUUCAAAGCUUCUUCUCUCAGGUAUGGCCACGGCCUUGUCCAUUGCUCACUGCCAGUAUUUCACGUUCAUUUCUCUGAUGUAAAUAGGGAUGUCCUGCGGUUCUCUUCAUGACUUUGAAGGCUGGAUUUGGGGAAAACCUCACCGGCUCCGGACAUCCCUGUAAGGCAAAGGCAAACAGGUGAGUGGGAUGGCCCCCAUCCGACAGCGUCCCCCCAGACUCUUCCUGUUUGGCUGCCUGUGAACAAACAAGGCUUCCAAACCAGUUUGCAUCCAUCUCAGCCAGCGUAGCUUCGCGGCAUCCACUAGCCUGAAUGCAAUCUCUUCUGACAACCAUCCACCAGCUGCAGCCUCUCCAGGUCCAUUGCCAGACAUCAACCAGCUUGGAAGUGCUAUGAAGACACUUUAAACAUGAAUGGCUUCUCCUCAGGGAUUCUGAGAACUGUAGGUGGUUAAGGGGACGGAGACUUGUUAGGGUGGUUUAGGGUUAGGGUUAGAGCUAGGGUUAGGGUUAGGGUUACGGUUGGGUUAGGGUAGUAUUCCCUUCUUGCCAGGGAACUCUGGGAAUUGUAGCUCUAGUUAAGGGUUAAGGGUUAGCAUUAGGGUUAGAUUUAGGGUUAGCAUCAGGGGUAGGGUUCCCUUCUUGGCUGGGAACAGAUGGUCUCCUAACAACUCUCGGCACCCUUUUCAAACUAUAGCUCCCAGAUUCUUUGGGGAAAGAAGCCAUGAGUGUUUAAAGCGGCUUCAUAGCGCGUUAAAUGGUGUGGAUGUGGCCCUGGCCUCCCUCACCCCACUGCCUCUUAUUACUGAAGAAUCGAAAGGAUUUCCCCAUUCAAAUCUCUUAGAAACAGGAAACAGGAAGAAGAAAGACUUUCUAUCUCAUGCCAUUUUGAAAUGUCUUAACUUGAAAUGCCAAUAAAGAUGAUUGUAUUGUAUUUGAAUGGGGAAAUCCUCACCCCACUGCCUAUUAUUAUUGAAGAAUCGAAAGGAUUUCCCCAUUCAAAUCUCUUAGAAACAGGAAACAGGAAGAAGAAAGACUUUCUAUCUCAUGCCAUUUUGAAAUGUCUUAACUUGAAAUGCCAAUAAAGAUUAUUGUAUUGUAUUGUAUUGUAUUAUGAUUAACAUGGGAAGUCAGGGGGCCUUGGAUGGCUUCUGAGGGUGCUAAGGAGGGCUUCUGAGGGUGCCAUGGAGUCCACAUGCCACAUGUGUCACAAGGGAGGGGGGUCCUCUGUCAUCAUUUCUUUAUUACUAAAUACCCUACCUUGAGUCCUAGUGUCCCCAGCCCUGUCUAUAUAUGGUCUCCUGUGAUGUCACAAACAUACAUAGCAGCUGAGGGGAAAGAGGCAGUUUCUUAUUCUAGAAUUUCAAACAUAGGAGGGCAGGAGGGGGACAUUUUUCAGCCCAGGGGCUGCAUUUCCCUCUUUGAAUAAAGUUUGGACACCACUGCCCUAAGCCAUGCCCUCUCACCAGGCCUCUUUUCCCAGGGCUGUGCUGCAAUGUUUCAAUGGUGAUUAUUAUUGUUUUGCUGCAAAUUAUUGGCCUCUUUUUGGUUAGAAACAGAUGAAACUACCUUAUUUUUGCUCCACAUUUCAUACCAUUCUUCUUGAGGUGCAUUAUUUAAGUUAGGAAGGCAGAAAGAUAAAGCAAGACAAAAUCAAGCAUGUCAAAGCAUUUGCAGACACAAGAAAGUAAAAUGGAUGGUUAGAUCAAAAUUAUUCUGAUCUGAAUCCAAACUUUGCUUUGCAACAUUUGAUGCUAUGUGUAUAAGUAGGCUGAAUGUCCCUCCAUUAUAAUUUAUGUAGUACUGUAUUAUUAUUUUUAUUAGAUUUAUAUCCCACGUUUCUAUCCAAAUGAGCCAAGCAGGGAUGUCAACUUGAAUAAAAUAUUGUGAGGAUCCAGGUAGGCCCUGCCCUGCAUAAUUUAUCACAUGACACAGUGCACACAUACUAUUUGAAUUGGAAUGCCCAUCAACUUUGUGGGGGCCCAGCCCCCUCAAAUAUUGUAUUGUGGGGGCCAAAGCCCCCAUGGCCCCUAGGAGUUGGCUCCUAUCGAAUCAAGGGUGGAGAACAACAAGUGAUCAAACAAUUAUAAUAAUAAAUCUUUAAAGCAAUUCCAGUACGCAUUCAUAUUGGGAAAGAUUUCAACUUAAAAGGCUCAUUGAAAGAGGGAAGUCUUCAGUAGGUGCUGUUAAGACAAUCAAGACGGCGUCUGCCUGAUAUUCAAAGGGAAGAAUUACUUAGGGUAGGUGCCAUAACACUAAUGGCCUGAGACCUGUAUUGUGCGGAACAUACUUCCUAUAAAAUGGUAUCUGUAGGAGAAUCUCACAUGCAGAGUGCAGUGACUGACUGGGUUUAUGUCGGGCUGGACAGAGGAGGAGGAGGAAUGGACUUCCUCCCCAUCCUGACCCUUCCAGGGAGGAGGAAGAGGAAGACAGUAUAGAUUUACAACAGUGGUUUGCAGGAGGUCACAGCUCAGAGGCAGAUGAAGGGAAAAGUUGGGAAAUAGUGGGAGGGGAGAGCCGGAGCAGCAGCUGGCUGACAUGUCAUUAGAAAGCGUUCUAGACCCACCAUCUCCCAGAACCUGGCAAGCCUUAAAAGUAGAAGAGCAAAGAGCUUGAAGACAGAGGGCACUUAGUGGCAUCCAUAGAGGAGGUGAUGAUGAUGACAAAUGAGGAAGUGGGAGAGAAUUCACCUGGGACAACACCAUUAUCCAAGAGGCUGGGUUCUAUAACUUCUCUCUGUAAAGUUUGAAAUAAAAAAAGAACUGUAAGAAACUUUUCCUUGUCUUUAUACUUUCCUGGGCAACCAGCUGGGAACUGCUGAUAGCAUCCUGACUGUAUAUAAGGGGUGAGAGAAUCUUUCAGGUACCUGAGAGGCUACAAAAAGAAGUGCAAAAGUCAGGUACAUGAAGAGAAAAUGGGAUCUGUUGUCAUUCCCAUUUGCAAUUGGUUGUCCAGUUACUUAUACAUGGGCAAGUAAUGGAACAAGGCAGAAACCGAGCACAAGAGUCUGCUGGCAUAUUUCUUUGCAUGGUACAUAAUUCAGUGGUAGAAUAUCAGGAUUUUUAUGCAGAAAGUCUUAGGUUCAGCCCUUGACAUCUCCAGGUAGGAUUGGGAAAUAUCACCUGAAUCAUGAUCAAUGAUCAUCUGAAUCAUUGAGAGCCUCUGCCUGUGAAGAUAAUACUGAGCUAGAUGGUCCAAUGUUCUGCCUCAGAAUAUGACAGCUUCCUAUGUUCUGCCUGUCAUAUAUUCUCUGAUAUAUCUAUUUUCAUGAGCAACCCAAUCGCUGAGCUUUGAGAUACGUUGGGGCUGCCAGAGCAUACCUUUGUUUGGCUUCCUUGGAAUGGAAGUCACUGGAGAUUGUGGUCACACAUACACACACACACUGCAGGGCCUCACAGCAUUAACACUCCAUUCCACCUUGUUCCUCCAUUAGGUUUCUAUGGGACUUCAUCACAGAGAGCAAUUCAAGCCUCUUGUCUCCAGUACUUCAGACAGGGCUAGAAAAAAUACUUGCCCCAUCACCAGUUAGUUCUUUCUGUGGCAACAGAGCCAAUUCUUUAGUUAUGUAAAAAAGAAUGCUUGACUAGGGCCAUUGACUUAACAAAGAAAUUGGUCUGACUACUUUAGCAGGUUUUUUUUACCAUGGAAUCCAAUUUUACAAAUAUAGAUACAGUUUGUAAUGGUGUUUUAUCCUUUUUAUGUUGUACACCUUACUGAUUUUUUAAGAUAAAAGUAUAGAAAUACAUUUAAUAAAUGUCAGGAGCUGGCCUGCUUCCGACUUGAGAAAACAGCAUGCAAGAGGUAAUUAACAGAAGAUUGAUUGCAUACAAGCAAUUAGCCUCCGAUCACUCUCCCCGAGCAACCAUCUAUCACAAUUAUGUUGACUCAUCUGAAGAACACUUCCAGCUACUACAGAAUAUCCUGAGCCUCCUACUCUUACGUUUCAGGCGUCGUUGUCUGUCUUGGACUUUUUCCAUUUGUCUAGUUCUGGGACUGAUGGGGUUAGCUACCUCCUCUUCUGCUGAGGAAAUUCUCCCCCACCCCUGUGCCGUGAGUGACUGUGAUUCCUCAGAGAGCUGGCUCCCAUCCAGCCCGCCUUUCCUGUGUUGAUAAGCCUCAUUCCUGCCAGCUACAGAGGGAGGAGGCGACAGACCACUGGUUCCAGCUGUCUGUGAAAUCUGCAAGUCUCCUUCUCCUUCUGCUUGCCUGCUGUCUAGCUCAGGCUGCCCUUCUCAGUUUUGUGCUGUCGUAUCCAUGACAAUAAAUAAAACCACAGAUUUGGACACAGACCCAAAGAUGACAUUGAAACCAUCUUCCAAUCCUGUACCAAUACUGAGAAUGGGGAAGGGGAGAGGAAUGAGAUGCCCCAUGAUAUUCUUGUAAAGAAGCUGGUAAAAUGCGGUCUUGACUAUGCUACCACUCAGUGGAUUUGUAACUGGCUGACUGACCGAACCCAAAGGGUGCUCAUCAAUGGUUCCUCUUCUUCCUGGAGAAGAGUGACUAGUGGGGUGCCACAGGGUUCUGUCUUGGGCCCGGUCUUAUUCAACAUCUUUAUCAACGACUUGGAUGAUGGACUCAAGGGCAUCCUGAUCAAAUUUGCAGAUGACACCAAACUGGGAGGGUGGCUAACACCCCAGAGGACAGGAUCACACUUCAAAACGACCUUGACAGAUUAGAGAACUGGGCCAAAACAAACAAGAUGAAUUUUAACAGGGAGAAAUGUAAAGUAUUGCACUUGGGCAAAAAAAAUGAGAGGCACAAAUACAAGAUGGGGGACACCUGGCUUGAGAGCAGUACAUGUAAAAAGGAUCUAGGAGUCUUGGUUGACCACAAACUUGACAUGAGCCAACAGUGUGACGCGGCAGCUAAAAAAGCCAAUGCAAUUCUGGGCUGUAUCAAUAGGAGUAUAGCAUCUAGAUCAAGGGAAGUAAUAGUGCCACUGUAUUCUGCUCUGGUCAGACCUCACCUGGAGUACUGUGUCCAGUUCUGGGCACCACAGUUCAAGAAGGACACUGACAAACUGGAACGUGUCCAGAGGAGGGCAACCAAAAUGGUCAAAGGCCUGGAAACGAUGCCUUAUGAGGAACGGCUAAGGGAGCUGGGCAUGUUUAGCCUGGAAAAGAGGAGGUUAAGGGGUGAUAUGAUAGCCAUGUUCAAAUAUAUAAAAGGAUGUCACAUAGAGGAGGGAGAAAGGUUGUUUUCUGCUGCUCCAGAGAAGCGGACACGGAGCAAUGGAUCCAAACCACAAGAAAAAAGAUUCCACCUAAACAUUAGGAAGAACUUCCUGACAGUAAGAGCUGUUUGACAGUGGAAUUUGCUGCCAAGGAGUGUGGUGGAGUCUCCUUCUUUGGAGGUCUUUAAGCAGAGGCUUGACAACCAUAUGUCAGGAGUGCUCUGAUGGUGUUUCCCGCUUGGCAGGGGGUUGGACUCGAUGGCCCUUGUGGUCUCUUCCAACUCUAUGAUUCUAUGAUAGCUGAUGUCAUAUCCUGUUACAGAUGCAAUUAAAACAUGCCUUUCCUCUUCAGAACUAUCUUAGGAAGCAGUCCAAUACUGAUUCACGUCUAUAUAAAUUUUCAGGAUAGGAGCUGCAUUGAGAAGCUGCUACCUGUAGCUCUGUAGUUCUGUGGUUCACUACACGAGGCAGAUAUCCACAGAGAUCUUAAUUGUUCCUGACAUUUUGCCAUCCUGUGCUCAAUGUCAGAAAUGAGAGUUUCAAAUGGCAGAGACUAACGAUUUAUGUUUCAGACUGGCCAUUUUGGGGAGCAUGGUGGUGUUUUAGGUUUUCUUAGGUAAGCUGUUUGCAGGAUCCUAGAUGGAAAGGUGAAAGAGAAGUGCUCUUCCAUUAAUACCUGUCUUAGGGCCCAGGGGAGAACUAGCAGUAGAAGAUCCUGCAAUAUGACCCUGAUACCAAAUUACAGAACAUGGCUUUAUAACAAGACAGUAAUUCAGAUACCUCCAUUGUACAUGCACAGACUUAUAAAGCUUAGUUAUUUCAACAUUUAGAUCCUCACUGGUUGCUGCAGCAUUUUAUUAAGGAUCCUGCUUGCACAGAAAGGGUUGUCACAUCUCCAGGCAAGCAUUAAAAGAAAUGUUCAAAAUAACUAGACUGCCCCAGGGGCGAACGAUUUAUUUGCUGGCAACCGAUGCAUCCUCAAUAUGCUUAUUCUACUGUUUUCUCACUACAUGUUAAAUCUCAGUAAGCCCACAUGUUUUUCCCCACUUACCUCUGCUAUAUAACUCACAAAACUCUAUUGGUGCAAAUGUUACUGCGUUGCAAUGCAAGGCAGUUAAGAUUAUUUUUGUUGCUUAAUCAAUUGAAUUGCUAUCAUUUUUUGUUGUUUCCUCCCCACAAGGAAGGUUAAUCAAAGAACUAGGAGAGAGAUUCGCAGUUCUAAGAAAUGAAAAGAAUGGUAAUUUCUGAAAUUAUUUUGUGGGGACACGAAUGGACAUGUUGUAGAAUUCUAGUCCAACCCUCUGCAAUGCAGGUAUCACAGCUAAAUAAUUCAUGAGAGCGUGUCACCCAACCUCUUUAAAAAAAAAAAAAUCCAGUGAAGGAAACUCCACCACCUUUUAAAUCAUAGAAUUGUAGAGUAGGAAAGGACCCUAAGGAUUACCUAGUCCAAUCCCCUGCAAUGCAGGAAUAUGCAACUGUCUCAUAUGGGGGUUGAACUUGCAACCUUGUCAUUAUCAGCGCCAUGCUAUAACCAAUUGAGCUAUGUAGCCCAUUUCACUAUUGAACAGCUCUCACUGCCAGACAGUUCUUCUUAAUGUUUUGUUUGAAUAGCCAUUCUUGUAAUCUGGAAUCCAUUGGUUCAGGUCCUACCCUCCGGAGCAGGAGAAAACAAGCUUGCUCCAUCUUCCAUGUGACAACCCUUAGGAUAUUUGAAGAUGCCGGUUGUAUCACCUGUUAGUCUUCACUUCUUCAAGCUAAACAUACCCAACUCUCUCAACCAUUCCUCAAAAGGCUCUGUUCCCAGACAAAGGAAGGAUUUAUUGCAGACCUUACAAAUACCCUGAUAGUUCUGCUUAUUCCUACACUGGUAAAGGACCAUGUAAACAAUUCGAGGUUCUGGUUCUGGUGUAUAAAAUCCUAUAGGACUAAGUUACCUGAAAGACCAUCUCACCCCUUGUAUACCCAAUCAGUCACUGCACUCUGCAGGUGAAGGCUUCCUGCAGAUACCAUCUUAUCAGGAACUCCAUUCCACACAUUGUAGGAAUCAGGUCUUUAGUGGUGUGGCACCUACUCUUUAGAAUUCCCUCAGAUUACAUAUUAGGCAUCAUUUCCUCUCUUUUCAAUGCCUACUGAAGACCUUCCUCUUCUGCAAGGCUUUAAGGGCUCAUCCACACUUCCUCUUGUGCUACGGAAGGCACCGGUCUGAGAGGUUUUCCACUUAACCCACUAAUUUCCAAGGGAAUGCCCACUCUUUAGAGAUAGAUCAAAACAAAUGGCAAUCUGGAGGAAAGCUGAUUUGCCAUUUGCUCCAGCUGAAUGCCAAAGAGUAGCUUUCCUUGGGAGAAAACAGUGGGAGAAGAGGAAGUGUGGAUAAUCCCUAAACUGAAAUCUUUCUAAAUCUACUUUUAAAUCUAGCUCCUUUGGGAGGGAGUGAGAGCAGGGUAUAAAUUUUGUAUGUAUGGAUAAUAAAAUAACUUGCACCUCUGUCCACAAUGGAUGGGAUUACUGGGAGUUGGACUUUGGCGACAAUUGGAGGGCCACAGGUACCCAUAUAUGCCAUAAGGCUUAAGCCACAAGGUUUCUGAUUUUUGGUGGUGGCAUUAGUAUUUGCUGUAUCUGCUUUCCAUUGUUUUUGCAACUACUGAGGAACUGUACCUUCUGUGUUAAAAAAAUCCCAUUACCAAUUCACCUGAGCUAAUUGAAAUGCCAUAUUAUCUAAUCCACACAUGUAUAGCAGACUGACAAAAGGGAAAGCAGAGAAAACCAUUCAGACUAAAUUUCAAAUACAAUACAAAUGUAUUACACAUCAAUUGUGCAAAUAAGAUAACCAUGUUAAUCUUUAUAGGAACAUUUGCAAUUCGGGGGUGGGGGUUACUUUGUUUGAGGCAAUUGUCUUUUCCACUUCUUUUAUUAGAUCAUGCAAAUGAAAUAAGCACCACUUUACCUUCACAGAGUAAAAAGCAAACAGACAUGUAUUUUAUUUCAAUGCAUUUUUAAUACUGGCCUGGUGGGCUUUAUUCAGCCACUAACGACUUGUCUUGGAUUGUUGCUUAUCUGUCUAGUUUUCUGUGGUGUAACUGUCAAUGACCAGCAUUAGGAAGCACAAAAGAACGCACACAUUAUCCAGAUGUGUAUAACAGUGCAAACUAAAUAAAAGCAGUAUAAAAAAAUGAGCACUGACAUUGCAAAUGAACGUUACCCAUUAAAGAAAAGAUAAACAGAUGCAGGUGGUGGUUGUGGCUCCUGCUUCCCUUUCUGCUUAUUUACAGUCCAGUCUUCUUUGCUUGCUUCCCAGGUCAUGCUCCAAAUCCCCUCAAGAGAACAUUCUGGAUGAAAGGCACACCUAUUGUAAGAGUUCUUUUCCAUUCCCUUACAAUCUUAUAAAAAGAUAGCUAGGAACUGACUGAGCAGCUAAUUCCACCUUAUUUCAGUCUCACUGGCAUGCAGUCACAGUCCAUACCACCCUCUUGCAUGCCAGUAUGUCCUGCUCCAUCUCAUUCAACCAUUAUUAUUAUUAUUAUUAUUAUUAUUAUUAUUAUUAUUAGCACACCUGGAAAAGAGGAUCAGAAAAAUUCAUGGAGG
rnacentral:lncRNA from 1 species